UGUGGAUACAGUAGGUUUCAUCAGCUUUCACGAAUCCGGCAGGCGACAGUCAUCAGCCGACGAAGCCACAUUUUGUGGAUACAGUAGGUAAGUCAGGCUACCACAUUUCAUCAUCCUGCUCCUAAUUUCAUUGAAUCGUUGCCUCCUAGAUGCAAGCCGCAUCGAGGUCCGAACCUCUCUUCAAGGCGGGCACCAAUCUCACCACCGACGUCCACCAAUUUGGUAGCAACACGGAGCGCCCAUCAGUGACGGUAGCAGAUAACCUUGUAUACCUUUUGUUGGAGAAGCUGCAAGCUAGAAGGAUGCAGGGACAGAUACAUGCAUGGAUGUUUAUUCGCUUUCUUUUAUUCUUAGAAUGAGUGUAGUCAAAUUUUGUUCAUCUGUGUAUAUGAAGAUAUCUAGGAGUAAUUAUUAGUUGAUUGUAUAAAUAUUACUUA